GGACGAACGCUGGCGGCGUGCUUAACACAUGCAAGUCGAACGGAAAGGCCCUGCUUUUGUGGGGUGCUCGAGUGGCGACCGGGUGAGUAACACGUGAGUAACCUGCCCUUGACUUUGGGAUAACUUCAGGAAACUGGGGCUAAUACCGGAUAGGGGCUCCUGCUGCAUGGUGGGGGUUGGAAAGUUUCGGCGGUUGGGGAUGGACUCGCGGCUUAUCAGCUUGUUGGUGGGGUAGUGGCUUACCAAGGCUUUGACGGGUAGCCGGCCUGAGAGGGUGACCGGCCACAUUGGGACUGAGAUACGGCCCAGACUCCUACGGGAGGCAGCAGUGGGGAAUAUUGCACAAUGGGCGGAAGCCUGAUGCAGCAACGCCGCGUGCGGGAUGACGGCCUUCGGGUUGUAAACCGCUUUCGCCUGUGACGAAGCGUGAGUGACGGUAAUGGGUAAAGAAGCACCGGCUAACUACGUG
rnacentral:rRNA from 1 species